rnacentral:sRNA from 1 species
AGACAACCGAUCGUACACUACCUUCAACC